AGAAACUAGGGUAUCAUCUUUAUUAAAUGUUCCCAGAAAUAAAAUGGAUUCUGAUCUCUCUCCCAAAACAGAAGAUAAGCUGGUCUCUGGAGAGACCUUAACUUCGGUGACUGUAUUUGUGGACAGUGGAGUCGUGUGAGCCUUGCUUCACACUGCAGUGGGACUGGCUGUCCUCCCUCCGUGGUAGAGACCAAGGAGACUAAUGAUGCACCUAAGUUAAUUCACUCGACUCUGGGACUAUGAGGCAGUUCAUCCACACGCUCCAAACUCCAGCUUAUUGUAGGAGACCAGUGCCUCGAUCUCAUGAGGUCAUCUCGACGCCUCAGCUGUAACCCUUGGAGAACCUGUGGUCUCUGCUCCUCUGCCUGCUGACAUGAUCAUCCCAGGUGCAAAACAGGCAUCGGAAACAAGAGGUGAAUUCUCCCCAUAUGACAGGAAAUUGGUGCAAAUGACCAGAGCCCCCCACCUCUGAGAUACGGAGUCAGAGUCGGAGCUACAAUGACGGAUGACAUCAGCAUCAAUGUCAGCAUCCCCUCCAGCAUCACCACCGUCUACCAGCAACAGGGAAUGUUGCAGGUUUGUUUCCUGUUCCUUCUCCACGUGCUGUGUGCCAAGCACAGAAAGCCUCAGUGACCAGCUACUGAAU